UACGGCCACGUCACGUGGAAACAUCGGUUCCCAUACGAUCGCCGAAGUUACGCAACUUCGAGUCUGGUCAAUACUUUGAUGGGUAGCCGCUUAGGAAUACCAGGUGUUGUAAG